rfam:Solanum tuberosum cultivar DM 1-3 516 R44 scf00244_27, whole genome shotgun sequence.
AUGAUAUGAAAUUAACAUUUAGAUAUGUGAUUUCAUGUUGAUUUCAUAUCAUGA